UGGCUCAGCAGUAGAGAAUCUGCCUUCAAUGCAGUAGACCUGGGUUAGAUUCCUAG
rnacentral:tRNA from 1 species